rnacentral:rRNA from 1 species
UACGGAAGGCAGUAGUGGGGAAUAUUGCACAAUGGGCGAAAGCCUGAUGCAGCUAUGCCGCGUGUAUGAAGAAGGCCUUAGGGUUGUAAAGUACUUUCAUCGGGGAGGAAAAACAAAACUAAUAAUUUUAUUUCUUGACGUUACCCGAAAAAGAAGCACCGGCUAACUCCGUGCCAGCAGCCGCGGUAAUACGGAGGGUGCUAGCGUUAAUCAGAAUUACUGGGCGUAAAGAGCACGUAGGUGGUUUUUUUAAGUCAGAUGUGAAAUCCCUGGGCUUAACCUAGGAACUGCAUUUUGAAACUGAAAUACUAGAGUAUCGUAGAGGGAGGUAGAAUUCUAGGUGUAGCGGUGAAAUGCGUAGAUAUCUGGAGGAAUACCUGUGGCGAAAGCGGCCUCCUAAACGAAUACUGACACUGAGGUGCGAAAGCGUGGGGAGCAAACAGGGAUUAGAUA